UUAUCGGAGAGUUUGAUCCUGGCUCAGGACGAACGCUGGCGGCGUGCCUAAUACAUGCAAGUCGAGCGGACAGA
rnacentral:rRNA from 4 species